AGGGCCACAGGAUUGAGGCGAGACGAGAUUCAGUAAUCCACAGUCUUAUUGUGGCGGAGAACCCAUUCAAAGACAGCAAAGAUGGCAAUCAUGACGACUUCAAUAAUGAUGUCCUGACAGUUCUUGUCCAUGGGAACAGAGAUGAGGAGCCAGUCGUGUCCAAUGUUUUAGAAUGUUUCAAGAGCUGUUUUGAGCUGUUUAAAGUCUUGUUCUUAUUUUUAAGCAUUGAUCUUAAGCAAGUUUCUGUAAAUUUUUGUCAUUCCUUAAAUUGAAGCUCUUAAUAAAUAACUCGUGACUGCA